ACCAAUUCUGGGGGAUGAACUGUUCCUCUUGGCAUAAUGGCUUGGGCGCUAGAUCAGCAUUGUGGCACUAUCCUGAUCGGUGGCUGUGUUCUCAGUGCCAUUGGAUCCUGGAAACGCCUCAUACAUUC
rfam:Eucalyptus grandis cultivar BRASTZ1 unplaced genomic scaffold scaffold_11, whole genome shotgun sequence.